GGCUCAAAGUUCAAAAUUGACCGUUGAUUUCCAGGAGUGUAUUUCAGCCCAGAGUUAAAUAUUUUUACCCCUUAAACCUGGACGGCUCAAGUUGGUCUCAAUAUGUCCAAGAAUAUUUUUUGAACGAAGAUAUAUGUAUAAAACUGUAUAUUUAUUCGGAAAUAGUGUUUUUAAAAUGUAUGUUUGAAUAUCUAACGUGAAAAAUGAAAGUUCUCAAGAAAAGCUGAUGAAGUAUAGUCUUCCUAUUUUUAUGGCGGGAACGAGAAUAAUUAAUCAUGGAAGCAAAAAUGGCUGCUCUGGUACCGAUUGUUAAGGGACAAAAUGGCUGACGCUGUCUCUCAAGCUGCGAGAUACCGCAAUGUCGAAGCAGAAGGAAUCAACGAUAAAUCUUGGAGCCGCGGUAUCGAGGGCUGGUCUUCCGAAUUUAAGAAAGUGGAUUUCAAUUAGCCCGAAGACUUUGGAGGCGACCGGCAGCCGAUAAAAUAACGAGGAGCCAAGCCCUUACACAAGCGUCUGAGAGAGAAUGCGAGAACAGGCGGCCGAGUAGGACGAACAAGGGAGGAAAGGAGUCCACGGAUGCGCGACAAAAAUCGUGGAGGAGCAUCACUGUUAAAUGUUAACAACUGAAGAAUGCCAAAGGAGACGCGGCUCUUUGAUAGGCUACUGCUGAUGGCGGAGGGUAGGGAGACCGAGCCAGGUUUAAGACACAUGCCUGCUUGCUAAGUAGCGGCUUCUGCUGGCGCGUCUACGUGUCUGUUCGGCCUUCUCGUCUCUUGCAUUGCCGAAGAGGACGAAGACAACGACGACGACGACUGAUGUCGGUCCGCUUUGCCGUGGCCCACGGCUCUUCGUCUACGUCUCCAGACGAUUGAUGGCCCUCGUGCUACGUGCUCCUCUCUCUCCACCCUGCUGCCUCCCCCUCUGCCCCCAACCCUUGCUCUUCUCUUCAACGCUGCCAGCCGGAACCGCGGUCGUUCCGAACGUCUUACAUUUAUGGAAUAUCUUGAAAUCUCCGUUUCACCAGUCUCGACGACCGGCAAUCAAGCGAUUGUUUCCGCUGUUUUGCGAUCUGAUCCCGCCAGCCUUUAUCUCCGCCAAGACAUCUGACUCCUGCUUGGACACCGUAGCUCGUACCGUUUCAACGAUAAUAAGGGAUAUAUGUAAAUACUUCGCCGGGCAUUGACAAAUUUAGCGUACCGCUCGGAUAUGCUGACACCGGCUCGCUUUUACGCACUACGGGGGGAAAAUGGUUCACCGUAUUUUUCGUUCGUUCAACUUUCUGUCCUUUGCCUUAAUAAAUAUUAUUCGUCCAUAAAAUUUAUGUCUAUUUAAUGUUUACUGCCAUGCAAUGUUCGUAUUUUAGGACGUUAACUUACACGUCUUUGCUUGUAAGUCUUUCGAUGGUACUUUGAAGAAUACGUUUUCGACUUUAUACGGGGUGUUUCAAAAUCCUGCCUCAUAUUUUCUUUAUAUUUGUCUUUGAUUUAAAAAAAAUUAAAUUUGAAAAUUUGUUAUACUUGUCAAAAUUUGUGUAUGGUAAUGAAGAUGGCUAUUUCAACACUUGUUCGGUUCAUUCAAUUUAUGGACACUGUAAUAAUUUUUAUGUAUUAAUAAAUGUAACUAUUGAUGAAAUUAUUGUUAUCAGUCAAUGUUAUUGAUACUUGCAAUUAAAGUUAUCAUCACUCUGUAUUUUAAUACAAAACGUAGAUCAAACUAAAGUAUAACUUGAUUCCUUAUGGACCAAAAAUAAACAAGCUCUAAUUGUACGUAUACUACUAACAGGUACCUAACCGUACCUGUACCUGUAAAAAAUACUAUUAUCAAAUGACAUACAAUGCUAUAAAUGUGUCUUAGAAAAAACGUUAUAAAGCGUAUCAUAAUUUUAUACGUAAAAAUGUACACAAAUCGCAUAGUGCUCAAAACAGAAUGACUGUUGGUUACAUUUGUAGGAACCGUUUCUAAUGGUAUUGUAUCCUUCGUAAGAAAUAAAUCAUGUAUAACCAUCUCGUUGUUGAGGGCACAUCGGUGGCAACGAUAAAUAAUUUUUUUUGUAUCCCGUCGACAACCUGUCGUCCAUGAAAAAUUCUUGUGAAUCGUUUAACAUUUCCUCCCUUUUCUAACGUGGCACAACCCAGCUCCACCUUUUCGUCUUCACCUCAACGCCCAUUCUCAUGCUACGUAAUGGGAAGUGGCGGGGUCUCCGCGUUGAAUCUGACAAGCUUUUUCUGGUACAAUAAAAGUCAGAAAGAGGCAAUCUAUUACCUUCCCCCUGCAGUCUUUCUGAGAGGAAGAGGACUGACUGAGCCGAAGCUUCAAGUUGGUCGGUGCCCUUUGAUCUACUUUGCCUUCCGCCCGGCUACUGGAAUUUUCUAUUUACUGUUUAAGGUUGCCUAUUAUUGCCGUCUGUUGUUUAGUUAAUUUAUAUGCCAUGGACACACGAGCAGAUUGAUGAGUCUCCAAAAACUUCUGAAACGAACCUUUGCUUUAUUCUUCCUUUCCUUACAUAGUUCCAACCCCUAGGUUAGUUAGUAUACUAAUACUGUGAUGAAACUAAAAUACGCAAGAAUUAGUGUUUACGUUGUAUGAUGAUCUUAAUUAUUGUUCAAAGGUGACAUAAAAAUUUGGAAAUUGGAAGUUGUCAAAUUGUACGUCUAUUUUAUGUUGCAAACCUUCAGUCCUCAAAUUUUUAUGUAAUUGUCAACUUUUUCUAUUUUCCCCACAAAAACUCUUGUCGCUGUAUCGAGAUGAAAAUUAAUUUUAUAUUGUGAAUAUUUUGAAUUUGUAACUUUGCAUAAAUACUCGUUAGCAAUAAAGUGGAGAAUACACAUUCACACGUCGAUGAAUAAAUAUCCUCACGUCAGGUCAUCAACAGCUACGGUACAAAACAUCGGCUGAAGCUCAUUAUCAAGACUUCUCAUCUUUCGAGUCAGUGAAGCGUGAACGAAACACGUGUCGUUUACAGAUCAAAGAGAUUUACGACCACGUUAUAUUUUUGCAGCUACUGCAUUCUACGUAAAUAAGGAAAACCGUAAAAAAACAAGUAUGAUUGUCAAUUGUCUCCCCCAAACCGAUUCGCGAUAAUUAGCUAUAAUUUAUCAUUUAAAUAUAUUUCCCAGUAACAAUUUGUUCUUGACUACAUCCAAAGCUGACAUAUAAAGCUGUGAAGUGAUGUGUAGCAUGAUUCGACAUAUUUGGAUCAGUGAAGAUAAAUAAAGGCUCCUGCAAAAAGUGACCUCGACCUUGAAAUUGAAUGUCAAAUUUUUUAUCCUGUAAAAAGAUAAAAGGUCUCAAAUGAACCAUGGCUCGGAACUGUUUGGCUGAAAGAUGUUUAAGUUUCAUUACUGAUAAGUUAAGGUUGAAGAACAACGGAAGCACAAGAGAUGCUACAUG